rnacentral:rRNA from 1 species
GUCUAAUCUGCCCACUGAUUUUUAAUUAAAGGGCUGCAGUAAUUUGACUGUACAAAGGUAGCAUAAUCAUUAGUCUUUUAAUUGAAGACUUGUAUGAAAGAUUUGAUGAGAUAUAAACUGUCUCUUUAUUACAAUUAAAAUUUAAUUUUUUAGUUAAAAAGCUAAAAUAUUUUUAAAAGACGAGAAGACCCUAUAGAGUUUUAUAGUUUUUAUUAUAAAAUAUUUAUAUAAAAUUUUAAUGUUAUAUUAUAAAAAUUAUUUUGUUGGGGAGAUAAAAAAAUUAAAUAAACUUUUUUAAAUAUUUUCAUGAAUAAUUGAGUAAUUGAUCCAUAUUUAUUGAUUAAAAGAAAAAAUUACCUUAGGGAUAACAGCGUAAUAUUUUUUUUUAGUACAAAUAAGAAAAAAAGUUUGCGACCUCGAUGUUGGAUUAAGAUAAAAUUAAAUGUAAAAGUUAAA